GUCCGGCGGUGGAGCGGUUGCGUCUCUUUGAGGAACAAUGGCUCUCCAUCGUGUAGCCGAGCCGAUGCUUGGAAAUUGUAAGAUACAAAGGAGAAUUCGAAGACGUGGGAGGAUAUUUGCUGUAAAAUGACUUGGUUAAAAACGGAGGCUCUUCCAAGAAUCGUGGGGUUUGAUGAAUAUUCAUGAAGGUCUGGUCUGGAUGUCUUUGGCUAGCUGGUUUAUUUCAAUGAGGGAUUUGCUGCCUGACCAUUGAAGAGGAGACCAGCUUGUUAGGAAGUUGCUACCAUUUCGCCAUUUCUGGCUAGUGCCACGAGAUAAACUUGUCUGUUGUAUGAAAAACUGGUGAUCAGGAAAAGCUCUUCAUUUUACAGACUUGGAAAGAGAAAUCAAGAGGACUUAUUGGUUAACUGAUAGAUUAUGAACCAGCAUCGAGUCCAGAUUAAUAUUUUAUUAGAUUCUAGCUCUUUAAUGUCAUAGUUCCCUGCUGUCAUAGCAGUAGGUUGUUUCCUAUAUCUGCUUCUAUUUCAAGUGCAAAAAUAUAUGUUUAAUAGGGUGUUUUUUUUAUUUUCCAUCAAGGACACUUGUAAUCAACAUUGUUCUGCAUAAAUUCUCCCCUGUUUAAAUAUCAAUACAUAAUGGUAAUUAAAGCUAAGUAAGAAAUUAUACUCACAAUUGUGGAAUUGAAGGUAUGGAACAAAUGACUGACAAAAUAAAACUGGGUUAAAAUAUUGUGCAGAAUGGAUUUAAUGCCAAUAGUAAUAAUAUCUGAUCAAGCCUAAGGUGGUUGGGCUCUAUGUGUCAUGGUUUUUCCUAAAAUAUUUACCUACGUUUUUAUAGUUGAUAGUCUUCAGAGUAUUAAGGAGGCAUAUAAAAUUUCUUAAAUGCUUGCGAACACAUUAAAACAAUGUUGGUGCAAUCAUGGAUACAGCACCUAGUAUUUUGGGUUAUCUGCACAUUAUACUUAACAGUGGACUAUACAAUGAUUAUACAUGCAUCAAGUAGUACAAUGCCAAUAAAACCUUUAGCAAAUGCAUUAUUAAAAUAGACCUUGUAUGGAUUAAUGGAAACCUGAGGACAGUUAAGCUGAAAUAAUUAGUCACAGGAAUGGGUGAUUUCAAGUUCAAAGCUUAAUGCAGCAGACAAGGCAGAAACCAAAAAAAAAAUGGAAAAAGUAAUUUAGCAUGAUUGUUUCAUUUUGGUUGUAAAUGCCCAACUACCUGGGGAAAAAAGGCUGUGAAGCCUUAGACCUAAUUUUGAUAAGACGUUCAUGGGCAGAAAGGGUGUAUAAAACAGUGACUGAUAGAAUCUGUGUUAUUUUAUGACUAAAGAUUUAUUAUGCAUACAAGAGCUGGGGUGCAGGCCAGAUAUAUAUUCUUGGGGUGAGAGGUUUCACCAGAGACAGUGGGGAACAGACAGACUGAAAUACACUGGAGGGGGGAGCGGAGGGUAAAACUGGAGAGAUCUUAAUGUGGGUCACUUCCCUGCUGUUGAUGGGACUCAUGCUGCAGUGGCUGGAUCACUUCAUAGUGCUAACACUUCACCCCUUGUGCCACCAGGGAGGCACUAUUUUAUGGAUUUACAGCUCUAAAGAAUCAUCAGAGUGAUAUCUGGAACUAGCAAUUUGUGCUGGUGCAGGUGAAUUUACCCGUGAAGAAAUAUUUGGUAUCGGUGACCUUAAGCCUCAAUCCAUGAUUCCCCUUUCAUAUUCUACUGGGAACCUUCUAAUAAACUAUUUUUGUUAACUUGUUUUUACGGUAAAUAUUUAAUGAUUGGUGAAAGACUAGGGCCUUGCACAAAACUUGGAAGUCUUUACCCUUUCCUCAAAGAUGGCAAACCACUACAAAACAAGGCUGGGUUGUGAAAUAAGCAAUUUGCUUUGGAGCCCUCUGACCGCAUUUCCUGAUUUUUUGUUUGUCCUUUUUUGCUCAUCAAUCCUGUAACGUUUGUUUCCCUAGUUGAUAAAAUCCCAACCAUAUUUGUGUGUGUCCACUUGAUAUAUUGCACUAUAUUAGGCUCCUGCCAAUGAGGUCAAAGGUAAAAUACUGGCUUGUCCUUUGUCAGCGUGUUAGAUCCCAAGAAAAUGGGGAAGUCAGAGAUGAAGUACUAUAGAAGUUUAUCUGAAAUUGAACAAAUUUAAAUCCAAAUCACCUCAGAUAUGAAGAUAAAUUUAGUUAAGAGACUGAGCAAAGAAUGCACCAGAACACGAGGGUGACAAGUUGAACUUUAGUAUCAAUUGGAUUGGAUAUAUGUGGGAUGGGUAGGAAAGGCUAUAGUACUAACUUGCUAUUUAAGAAUAGGAGCAAGGGAGUUAGAGCUGUAAAGACGUAUUGCAGUCAUUUGAAUUCCCUAACACUCCACCCAUUUUUAUUUGGAAGGCGCAUAGUCAAAAAGUUCUGUUAAUUGCAAGAACUGCACCUAAAAAAAAUGAACAUUCUGAAAAUAGUGGUUUUAGUGGAAUUAAACCUAAAAUCUCAGCAUAUAAUAACAUCAGUUUCCAGUACAAUUAGAUGAUUCAAACCUUGUAGUCUGUACCAGGAUGGCAUUUUUCAUUCCCAAAGCAGAUGUCUUGCAGUUAGAUUGUACUGGCCUUUUCUGAUUUAUUUGAUGUAUUGGUUAUUAACUUGUUUCUAAAACAGAUGGCUACAGACAAGGACCAGGAGCCUUAAAUUGUUAGGCAGAUAAGGGAUUUAGCUUCCAGAACCUUCAAUGAAGACUAAAAGCUUUAGACCUAAAAAGUGGUUGUAAUAAACUUGCUUCAGAGUUUGAAAGAACAAUACAUAUUCUUGGUUUUAGUAACUAGCCAAUAGGGCUUUCUCCAUGCCAAACACUAUGCUUCCAAGUUAUCUUAAAAUACAGUAGUUUCAAACCUACAGUUUGGUGCACUAUAAUUAGUUGCAUUCCCAGAAAUCCAAUAUCCUCUGCUCUUGACUUCCCAGUCCUCUGAACUGAGCAUGCACUUCAUAACCCUUGCAACCAGUCUCUGCAACACCUUUUAGCUGUUCUCGAGGUUUUUAUGCCAGUUUCCCAGUUAGAGCCUUUAUUUGAAUUCCAGCCUACUAGGAUAGUUUGCAUAUCUUUUACUAGUCCUCCCUGGGAGUGGGACCCUCCUUCCUAUGUUCUCCUAAAAGCUUGGUUCCCAGCAUCGUAUUUAUAAUUGCCUGACUGAAACUGAAUAUUGCCACUGCCUCUGGCCUUGCUCCACCUCAUUGAUUCUAUUUAUUUAGGUAUGUACAGAUAAUCUGAUCAAAGCAUGAGUGUGCCAUGAAGUUCAGGAAAUAUGAACUAUCUUGGAAGAGGAGAAAGGAUACCUAUCCAUAGGAGAACUAGAAUCUUUAGUCUCAUUCUCACAAGCCCUUACCUCCUCCCUUUAUGCUAGUCCAAUACUGAUGUCCUGGCAUGUCAUGAAAACAGAACAUGGGAGUGGGUUUGGGGAGAUUAGUGUGAUUUUAAGUAUAGUUGACAGGAUAGAUUUCCAUGAGAAAGUGAAGCAAGGAUUUAUAGAAGGUGAGAGAUUGAACUCUUCACAUAUCUGAGAAAAGGGCAUUCCCACACCAGCAGCCCAAAGACUAGAGCAUGUGUGGUAAGAACAGAAUGAUCAGGGCAUGCAGAUUGUGUAGGGGCUUAUGGGUCAUUGAAAAGAUUUUUCUCUGGGGCCUCCCCUGGUGGCACAGCUGUUCAGCGCUGGGCUGCGAAGCUGCCUGCAGCCUCUGCAGCACUGGUUCGAUCCCCGGCCACCGGCGAGGGUCCCCAUGGCGCGACAGACCUCUCCUGCUGCCCGCUGCUCCCCUCAGCAGUGUACUUCAGUCCUUCUGCCUGCUCUGCUCCCCGCUCUGGCUCUGGUGAAUUCUCUCACCCUCCCACGCUUCUGACUAUACCCAGUGCUUGUAUAAAUAAAUAAAUAAAUCUUUACCAAAAAAAAAAAAAAGAUUUUGCUCUGAGCAAAAUGGGAACUACUGUAAAAGAUAACACAGAAACUCAAAGUAUGAGUUAAACAUCAAAACUUACAGCCCAGAUUAUGGUGUCUACCACUCACCAUUAAAAGGAAACAGGACUCAUUGAAGAAAUUGCAAAUCUGAUGCAAAAUAUGUACAAGAUAAGCCUGAUGCAUCUUGCUGUAGCAGAGAGCAAGAAUAUUAUCAAUGACUGCUAAUAUUAUGCUAAAAGAAUUUGAAGCCUCUCCCACUGCCCAUAGAUGGAAAAUGUGACUUAUUAAGGGUAAUAAACACUAAAGUUUGAAGUACAUGAUUAUGUUAAAAUCUAUGAAUUCAUAAUGAUACUGAAAACAAAUGAUUUUGAUGUUGUUAGAAAAUGCUUAUGAAACUACUCAUCGAUUUUCAGAAGUGGCAAAUAUAGGGACUUUCCAAUACUCACUGGAGUAAUGAGUAAUCAAGUAGAAGGUGAGAAAGUUUCUCUUUAUUAAUGUAUCCCACUAAAUAACUGAAAAAGACUGAUAAUUAGAAUAUCACCAUUUUGCAACAUCUAAUGAAUUAGUGUCUAAAGAGUGGUUAUUGAUCUGCUAACAUCAAGAAAAGUGAUGGAACCAGUCGUUAUGUGCCCCUGAAGGAAGAAUUUAACACCUCCUGUGAAGUUCUUUUGCCCCAAACACCAACAACAAAAAUAUGAUUUGAUGUAACUUCCAAGAAGACAGAAACAUUAAACUACACAAGACAUGCAAUCAGUAAAAACCAGACUAUGGAAAUCACAGUUUCUUCAAUAAAUUCAAUAAAUAAAUUGCAAAACCCAAGAAAAAGAAUGGGUAACUUAAACAGAGAUUGAAAAGUUAUAUCAUGUUUGCUAAGUUUGUAUCUCAUUUGUAUUCUGAUUUAAUAUAGUAAGAAUCAUGACAUUUAUGAGAUGGUUAAAUGUUUGAAUACUGACAAUAUUUGAUUAUGUUAAGGAAUAACCGGGACUUUACUAGGUAUGAAAUGGCAUUUUGUGCUUGUUAGACUUUGUGUAUUUUAGAUACAUGUUGAAUUCUUAUGGAUGAAACGAUUUGAAGGUAUAAGACAUGCUUCAAAAUAAUACAGAAAAUAGAGGAAGUGGUUGAAGUGUAUAAGUUAAACAAGAUUAGCCAUGAAUUUUGAUAAAUGUCAAAUGAAUGCAUAGGAAUUUAUUAUACUCUAUUUUUGUACACAUUUGAGAUUUUACAAUAAAAGGUGCUU